rnacentral:rRNA from 1 species
UACGGAGGGAGCUAGCGUUGUUCGGAAUUACUGGGCGUAAAGCGCACGUAGGCGGCUUUGUAAGUUAGAGGUGAAAGCCUGGAGCUCAACUCCAGAACUGCCUUCGAUACUGAGAGUCUCGAGUCCGGGAGAGGUGAGUGGAACUGCGAGUGUAGAGGUGAAAUUCGUAGAUAUUCGCAAAGAACACCAGUGGCGAAGGCGGCUCACUGGCCCGGUACUGACGCUGAGGUGCGAAAGCGUGGGGAGCAAACAGG